rnacentral:lncRNA from 1 species
CACAUCAAAAUAGGUUCACUUUCAAUUAUGUUAUUGAACAUAUAUUUUCAUUUUGAUCAUAUGUGUUUUUCAGUUGCAUUUAAUAUGUAUUUAUUUUUUUUAUUUUUGAUAAAGAGCGAUAGUAUUUUAUUGAUAAGAGGAACAUAAACAAGUACAAAGCCACUAUGGUGCUAAACCAUAUUUGGUUUAUGUUAAAGCUUAUUGAAAAUUAGUCUAUGAAGCUAUGAACUACCGUUAUUUAUAUGAUUUAAUAUUUACUUUUAUUUCUGGAAAGACUAUAGAAAUUGUAAGCACCAAAAAAAAUAAUCAUUCAAUUUUAAGGUAACA